GGGUGCUUGAGGCUUGUCUGGCUUGAGCAGUGUUGUUCGAGGCAUAUAAGACGAAAGCCCCGGGGAAAUUUUUUCAAUCUACCCGAGGCUAUCACUUCAUACCUAGACAGCAUGAGGAUAGCCUCUUAAAAGCAGAAAUGCAACGGAGGGCAAGAUG
rnacentral:antisense_RNA from 1 species